UACGUAGGGUGCAAGCGUUAAUCGGAAUUACUGGGCGUAAAGCGUGCGCAGGCGGUUGUGCAAGACAGAUGUGAAAUCCCCGGGCUCAACCUGGGAAUUGCAUUUGUGACUGCACGGCUAGAGUGUGUCAGAGGGGGGUAGAAUUCCACGUGUAGCAGUGAAAUGCGUAGAUAUGUGGAGGAACACCGAUGGCGAAGGCAGCCCCCUGGGUCAAGACUGACGCUCAUGCACGAAAGCGUGGGGAGCAAACAGG
rnacentral:rRNA from 1 species